CCUACGGGGGGCAGCAGUGAGGAAUAUUGGUCAAUGGACGAGAGUCUGAACCAGCCAAGUAGCGUGAAGGAUGACUGCCCUAUGGGUUGUAAACUUCUUUUAUAUGGGAAUAAAAUGUUCCACGUGUGGGAUUUUGUAUGUACCAUAUGAAUAAGGAUCGGCUAACUCCGUGCCAGCAGCCGCGGUAAUACGGAGGAUCCGAGCGUUAUCCGGAUUUAUUGGGUUUAAAGGGAGCGUAGGUGGAUUGUUAAGUCAGUUGUGAAAGUUUGCGGCUCGACCGUAAAAUUGCAGUUGAAACUGGCAGUCUUGAGUACAGUAGAGGUGGGCGGAAUUCGUGGUGUAGCGGUGAAAUGCUUAGAUAUCACGAAGAACUCCGAUUGCGAAGGCAGUUCACUGGACUGCAACUGACACUGAGGCUCGAAAGUGUGGGUAUCAAACAGGAUUAGAUACCCGAGUAGUC
rnacentral:rRNA from 1 species